CUAUUUAGUAUUUUAUUUACACACAUGCUACACGUGAAACUCUUAUCCAACCGCCCAAUUUCUCAUUUUUGUACAAGACUUCCUUCCAAGAGUCUUUCACAUUUCCACAAACAAAAGUAAAAGGAUUUGGUGUUAUUAUAUGGCUAAAAACGAAGCAGAACACGAACAUUCCGUGGCUAAAAACGAAGCUGAAAGCGAAGUUUCUGUAGACCUGGCAAGAGAGUCGUUAAUCGCUCUAUCAUACUCUCUACCGGAUACCGAUCUUCCUUCAACCGAUCAACCCAAAAGUGUUCAUAGUGUCACAGAAGCUGUAAAUACCGAUGAAAAAGAAAAAGCUCGGUCCGAGCUGAUCUCAAUAUCAUAUGGCGAGUCACCCGACACCAAGGGUUCACCGGUUUCACCUAAAGAAACGAUUGAUUCACCGGUUUCAACUAACGAAACCAAUGGUUAGAUCUUUCAGCAAUUUACCUAACAUAGUGUGAAUCAUGAUGACCAACUUUGGGUUGCAGUCACCAUUACAGCAAAAUAAAUAAGAUGUUACUUAUGCAAUAGUCAAUGUUUUGUUUAUGACUAUUGCAAGCUGGUUUCUGUUUCUUGAAUUGUAUAUUGAUGAGUGAGUCUUUAAUGUGGGUUUGUAUUUGUGUUUUUGGGCUUAAUUAGCUCUUACUAUUGUCCUACCAUCUGGCUAAAAUAUAUAAACUCUAAAUUAUACGCAAA